rfam:Sinorhizobium saheli strain LMG 7837 scaffold6, whole genome shotgun sequence.
UGCCGGCUCUCCAACAGCCGGGGUUACUGAAGAGGCACACCUUCAUUGCCGGAAGUGCGGUUGGGUCAUCCCCUCCAAUCCAUGGCAGACAAAGCCGAAUCUUAGCCUUUGCGGGCUUCGAUUCACCGUAACGCGCAGAGAGCGCAUGCAUGGU